GUUUGUAUACGACAAAAGCCCUGAGGAGGUCACAGGAGAAGAACAUGGAAAGAGUACUCUACUCGGAUUCGAAGAGGUAUA
rnacentral:sRNA from 1 species